rnacentral:ncRNA from 1 species
CUCAUUUAGAGUGAUGGAGGGAAUGGGCCCUAUGAAAUCCAGCAACCUUUAAAAGGUGCUAAAUCCCACAGACGAAAGUCUGAAAGAUGAGA